GCUGUACCUGUGGUAUAUGGAAGUUCCAGUAUAGGGACAGAAUCUGAGCUGCAGCUGUGACCUACACCACAGGUGCAGCAAUGCCAAAUCCUUUUACCCGCUGUGCCAGGGCCAGGGAUGAAACCUGCAACUAUGCAGCCACCCAGGCUGCUGCAUGUUCUUAACCCACCUUAACCUUGCCAAAUUAAAACAAAACAAAACAAAACUUUUUUAAAUUAAAAAAACACAUAAUUAUAGGGGUAAUACUGUGAUAUCACAUCAUCAUCAUGGGUCUCUUCCACAAUCAAGGGAGGAUCUUAUAUAAGGAUGUGCAUCUUUAACGGGUCAUCUUAGAAUGCGUGAAAGGAACAUCAUGAUACCAAGGCACACGCCAAGGCAAGUGAGCUCUUAUCUCAGGGAACAUGGUCCAGACCAGAAAAGGCCGCAGAGAGCAUCUCAGGUAAUACGAAUGUUCACAUGAGAGAGAACAGAAUCCUAGUUAAGAAUAAAUGUUAGAACAGGAUACUUUGACCAAGAAGGACACAGUUAAAAGUAUUCUCUUUCAUAAUAGCUACAGAAAUGUGAACCUUGUUACUUAACAUUACCUGAAAAUGGUUUAGCUGUGUUCUCCUGUGCAAUUGGCUGACCCAGCUGAAGCCUAAGGAUCCUUGGUGAGGCCAACAUAUGAAAUAUGAUGAAUAAAUCAAAGGGUUCAACACAAUUGGCCAUAUCUAAAGGAAAUUCAGGAGUUUUUUUCAAAUACAAAACAAAACAAACAAACAAAAAUCCAACAAAAUAAAUAGCCAAAUGGAGCUUCCUCAGUGUCCUCACUCUGGACUGCAGAGUAAGAGGGUUCUGGUUAUAGGCUCUCUGGGUUUGAGUCCCAACUCUCUAACUUACUAGCCAUUUGACCUUGAGGAAAGUUAUUCAACUUUACUUGCCCCACAUAACUUGGCUAUAAAGGGGAAAACAUCUAUAAAGUUAAUGUGAGAUAUGUAUAUUAUAUAUCUAUAUAUAAAAUUAUACAGACAAAUUAUAUAUUAUUGUUUUGUUUUAUUUUGUUUUUAUUUUUUUUGUUGUUGUUUUUUAGGGCUGCACUGGUGGCACAUGGAGAUUCCCAUCCAAGCCGCGCCUGCGACAUACACCACAGCUCACUGCAACGCCGGAUCUAUAACCCACUGAGCGAGGCCAGGGAUUGAACCCGCAACCUUAUGGUUCCUAGUCGGAUUCAUUUUUGCUGCACCACAACAGGAACUCCGUAUAAAUUAUAUAUUGUAUAAUUUAUAUAUCUCUACAUAAACACACAUACACAUAUAUACCUAUAUAAUUUUAAAUUGCCUGGUUUAGCUAAUAUGCAAUACAAAUCAGUCAUUAUUACUACCAUUACUUGCUCAUAUUUCUCUGAAUACUAUCCAGAACUAAAAUUUGUACGUCCUGGCCCUAUCACAGACAUGUCAAAGCUCCAAUGGUCAUGCCUCUAACACAACACUUCGUAGUUAUUUGCUUGCAUAUUUAUCUAAUCUUCUGGUUGGUAAGUUUUCUUAAGGAGAGAGAGUCAUGCUCAUUGAUGUAUACAUCUAGACCCAUGGCAGACACUUAAAUAUGAGCUGCUUGAAGAUCACAUUUGCCUUGGCAGUAAAUCACUUCCGCAUUAGGAGCUUUCAGUUAUGGCAGACAUUGCCAGCUGUCCAAUUUACAUUUAUGCUUCUUACUAACGGAACCUGGAUUUUGUUUUGGGGAACAGUGUGCCAGCCUCAUUGAUCCAUCAUCCCUUGUGGUAUAUCUCUGUUCAAAAGACGUAGGAAUAAAUACCUGGGCUUUUCCUGUCUGGCAUGGGGAUGUUAGGUGGGAGGUAGAAUAGCCUUUUUGUGGCUUUGGGGCACAAACUAAAAGAGAAAAGACACAAACUAAGGAUGGCAGUGUGGGAGACACAAGGAGUCUGGGGCAUUGAGGACUGAGACUCUGCUGCACUGACAAUGGACAGGGUCCUCCCGUGCUACCUGAAUUGUGAGAAAAAUAAGUGCCUAUUUGGUUAAGCAACAAUGGUGAGAUUUCUGUUAAAUGCAGCCAAGCGCAAGUGUUUAACUGAUAACAUCAGUUUAUUCAGCACCGAAGGGCAAAGAUCACCAAAGAGCUUGCAGAAUAUAGUUAAUCCAUAUUAAUGCCACCCUUCUGCCACUCAGAAUGACAUGUAAUUGGAUAUAGAGCCACUGUACAAGUAACUCGAGUCAGGGUGAGAGGAAGUAAACAAGGAGAAUAAUGCCUAAGGAUAUGCUUAAGCAUAACUUCAAGCAAUGUGGAGCAAUCAUCCAUUGCUGGGCAACAGAGAGAGGUUUCAAUUUAGCAUCUCAUUCUGCAUAUGAUGUGCCAUAUAAUUCAAUCAGCCUGCGAGGGAAUAGGGAACCACAAACAGAAACGUGCAAGUGUGGCCAUGGACCUCACGAAAGCAAUAGAAGAUAGAUUCUACAAAGUGACCAUGCAUGAGCUUUUUUAGGCAAAUAUGCAACACACACCUUUGUGUAUUGUAACAUAUAUUUGUGUGUUUGUAUAUUUACAAAAUAUGUUUAUCAAUGAAAUUCAGAAUAUCAUUACUGUUAAAAAUACAAAGUUGGAACAGACUGCCUGGGUUGAAAUUCCACCUCUGCAGCUGACUAACUAUGGGUCUCAUUUUUCUCAACCACAAAUUGGUCAAAGUAGACUCUACUCACAGGAUUCUUACUAAGGAUGCUGGGAGUUAUUUAAUAUGAAGCACAUAGGAAAGAGGAUAGUGCAAUCAUUGAUGUGUUAGCUAACAUUUUUGCAAUGUCAUAAAAGUAAGCAUGUUCUUAGUUGUUCAUGGGAAAAACAGCGGGUUUAUCACAUCUAUUUCCACACAUCUAUUCCACACAGAUAAAUGGAAAACCCAUUGUCCUGACACAUGUGAUGCUGGUUUACAUACUGCAGAUCCUUAUGAAUUUUAAAAAGGACCAGCAGCAUCAACUACAACAGCUACCACUUACUGAAUAUUUACUGUGUGCAGGGGCUAUGCUUAACACUUCAUUUGCAUUAUCUUGCUUAAUCCUGACAACAUCCAAAGAAUGUAGUAUCAUCACAAGUCCAAAAAAGGAUUAGUAACUUGCCCAUGGGAACAAAACAGGUAGGCAGAGGAACUGGAAUUAGAAUCCAAAUCCAAUUCUCUGUCUCCAGAGCCUGAACUUUUGUUUCGAGGUGCUGUUAUUUUUUAUCUUUUGCACUAGUUAUUAACUUAGAGGACAUGCCACACCUGCCAAAAAUGAAAAAUCCCCAUUUGGAGACUCAAAUAAGUUUCUAUUACUAUAGAAAAAUACCCUUGAGCUAAUUUCUACAAACAAAUCUCUUAUUUGUCAUUCGUUUCUUCUACUUAUAUUCUAGUACAGUAAUGCUGGGGAAAAUAUGAGAAUAAAAGAAUAGCUAGUUUUAAAAUGUAAAAUGUGAUAUACAUCUCAACCAAAUGCUGGAUAAACCACUAUUUUCCCCCAUUCUCGUAAGAGACCAUCGAUUAGUCCAUGAGAGGGUAGAGAAUGAAAUUUACUAAACAUCCCUAGUACAGGCAUGCGCCCCCCACCCCCGCCCCCAGACCCAUCAGUCCUCAGAGCUUCACAGAGUCACCUUGUUUGUUAUCUGCUGAGCAUGCUCUUUAGUAACAGUCAAUUGAAUUGCCUUAAUUGUGCACCUAGUCCAGUGGUACUUAGUCAAAAGGAUGCAAGCUGAAAUCCAUUCCACACUCCACUUGUGAUGGUGGUGUCCUGGGACACAGCUGCAUCAGCCUGGAGAAAGGGUGUGUUUUCUCUAAUCAGCAUUAAGGGACAAUCUCUUCCAAUAAGCACCUUGCACUCAGGACUGGGCCAUCUUUUUCACCACCACCCAAGUACGUGGGGAAAGAGCUAGUACAUACUAGGUGCCAAUGACUCUUUGAUUAAAACAAACAAACAAACAAACAUAAAAACCCUUGAAUGACUAGUAUGCAAAGGAGGAAGGGGAAAUUACCGUUCGCCCUUCUCUACUCCCCUGCACUUUGCACAGUUCAAGGCUGAUGCAACUUCCUAUGAUGUUCUCAACAGAAUAUCUAUGCAAUGGUAUAAAACGGAAGGUCUGGGGCCUCAUGCACAGUUCUAUCCAGAAUGCACAUGCAGACGUGUGCAGCAUAACAAAUAACAAGAUUAGACCCCAUGUGAGCUCUCUUUUGCAUAAUAAAAUCCCACAUGUUAAGAUGCAGAUUUAUUUUAAGCCCUGGAAGUGCUGACCAUAUGCCUCAGUGGCUGAGGAGAUGGCUACUUAAUAGAUAAUCUGCAAUGCAUGCCAAAGAACUAAUCAUGGCCAUCUGAUCAUCACGCCCCAUCAAAAACCAGAAAUGAAGAGCCAGGGAACAGAGCCAGAAACUGCCAACCCAUCUCACAGGCAGGGAGAGGCCAGGAGCCUAAGGGGAAGGGAUGAUAAAAUGAGCAUCUCCUUAUCCUAAUAACAAGAACAAAAUAACCAAAAAUAACAAUAACAUUAAUAACAACAUGGCUCAAUUCUAGUGCGCCUGCUGUGAGGCAUGUGAUCUACUAAACAUGUUACUGCUGCAAUCUUACAUAAGCCCCUCUCCUU
rnacentral:lncRNA from 1 species